ACGGAGGGUGCGAGCGUUAAUCGGAAUUACUGGGCGUAAAGCGUACGUAGGCGGUUAGUUAAGUUAGAUGUGAAAGCCCCGGGCUUAACCUGGGAACUGCAUUUAAAACUGGUUAACUAGAGUUGAGUAGAGGGGAGUGGAAUUUCAGGUGUAGCGGUGAAAUGCGUAGAGAUCUGAAGGAACACCAGUGGCGAAGGCGACUCCCUGGACUCAAACUGACGCUGAGGUACGAAAGCGUGGGUAGCAAACAGG
rnacentral:rRNA from 1 species